rnacentral:tRNA from 1 species
AAUAUCCUAUUAAGAGCCCCUUUGGUACAAACCAUUGGGGCUUUUUUUAUUUCGAGUAGUGACAAAAUUGGC